rnacentral:piRNA from 1 species
GAAACUGCCAGACAGCGGUAGUCAGUGC